rnacentral:misc_RNA from 1 species
GAUGAAGAACGUAGCGAAAUGCGAUAACUAAUGUGAAUUGCAGAAUUCCGUGAAUCAUCGAGUCUUUGAACGCACAUUGCGCCCCCUGGUAUUCCGGGGGGCAUGCCUGUCCGAGCGUCAUUGCUGCCCUCAAGCACGGCUUGUGUGUUGGGCCCCGUCCUCCGAUCCCGGGGGACGGGCCCGAAAGGCAGCGGCGGCACCGCGUCCGGUCCUCGAGCGUAUGGGGCUUUGUCACCCGCUCUGUAGGCCCGGCCGGCGCUUGCCGAUCAACCCAAAUUUUUAUCCAGGUUGACCUCGGAUCAGGUAGGGAUACCCGCUGAACUUAAGCAUAUCAAUAAGAGGAGGA